CAAUGAAAAUACAUUGUGUUAUAAUACAGGCUGCUGUAGUUGGAUGAAUUAUAACACAUGUACAGAAUUUUUAGUGUAGCAAGUCAUUAAUUAACAAUUUCAAGAUCAACACAGGAUACUUGAGGCAUGGAUAAACUGUUGGGGGUGUUUAGUAUUAUUGUGGUGGGUGGACUGGAUUCCACAGAGCUGUAGUAACUACAGAGGGAUAAAGCUGAUGAGCCAUACUGUGGAGAUAUGGGAAAAAUGUGACAAUUAGCGAGCAGCGGCAUGGCUUCACGCUGAGAAAGAACACUACAGAAGAUUUGUGACAGAAGGAUAGCAGAAAGAGUGAAAGGGAAGGUUUACAAGAUGGUAGUGAGACCUUCUAUGGUGUAUGGAUUGGAGAUGGUAACACUGACAAAAAGACAUGAGGCAAAGUCAGAGCGACCAGGAUGGUUGAGAUUAGACAUAAUAUCUCAGAGGGACAACUCAGGUUGAGAAGUCUGGACAUGCAGAGAGGGGGAAUAGCAGAUACAUUGGACAAAUGGGGGAUGACAUCAUUUUUUAUGAUGUCAUCACCCUUUUUUUUUAAUCAUUGUGAGUGUGGUGUCAUGCACUGAGGGAAAAUGGGUAAGUGACGCAAUGUUUUCAUUACAUCUUAAAUAAUAAUAACAAUGUGAAAUUCCCUUUACUGGGAUAGUGAAGGGAAUUUUUGUCGUGUGGUUUCCAGUUCAUGGAACUCUUGGAUCUUCCUGAACGCCAUUUUCCUCUCAUCUGAGGGGAAUCCACACUUGACCCUGUGUGGAUUAGAGAAAAUCCAACUUGCACACCCAGUUCUUGUUUUAAACUAAUUUCCCCCUGGAAAAAGAACCAUUGAAAGAAAUUAUUAAAAGCUCCAAAUUUCCACGACAUUCAUGCUCAACACGAGUGUAUGUAAACUGCUGCUUGGGAUUACUUUGGACCAAAGGAGAGGAAAUAACUUCAUUUAUUUUCAAUAAUAUUUUAUAGAUGAGGUGACAUAAUGUGUUUCUCGUUGCCUUGCCAGAAUCCUUCCAAGUGGUGGUGAGAGGAAGUGGAUUCCUUCACGCCCGAAAUGUUGACAAAGUGCUGUGCAGCUUUCGAAUCAACGACACCCUAACUAAGAGCUUUGGAAGUUUGAAUUAGAAGACUUUGAAGAAGACGACGCCAAACCUCUUCUGAAACUGGUAUGGGCAGUGAACAAUAUUAAUAAAAUGAGGGACAUAGCCCGGAUGCUCCUUAAAUUUCCAGAGGCUAUACCUCCUUAAUUUCAGUGGGGCACAUCUGACAUACAAUUAACAGUCCAGCUACAGUCUUUAAAUAUUUCUGUGGUGCUUUAAAUAUGUUUAAAAGAUGUUUAAAUAGCCUUAUUCUACAGAACACUUAAACUCCUCAGCAUGAUGAAGGAUUACGUUUAAAUCCUUAAAGACAAGCAGCAGGAACCACAAAACACCAAACUGCUCACUGCACAGGAACUGGUGAUAGAGGUAGUUCCCUGCGUCCUGCAGGGCUUCUGGGAGCGUCCUCCUCACCCCCUCUUGAACAUGGCCUCACAGAGUUAGCCUCAUCAAGGCCACUCUGGAUCACGCCUCCAAAACUGUCACAGCACGGAAAGCCAGGUCAUCUUCUCUCGCUCCAUCAGAGAUGACAUGGUCCAGAGCAUCCUGAGAUAAAUCAGAGAAGAAUACCCUCAAGAAAUUCUACUUAACAACAUUGCAAACUUUGCACCAGUGCUGUUCAAGGCGAUUGCUGAUGUAGCAAAGAAUUACGUAUCCAAUAUCUUUAAGCCCCCUUCAAGUCUUCCAAUGUUUGAUGUUCUUCCAAAUGAAGAACCUCCUUCAGACAGUCCUUCAACGCCCGAUGUUCCACCAGUUGAUAAACUUCCCUCUGAAAAUGUGCCAAUGUUGAAUGUUCUUCCCAGUGAGGAACUCCUUUCUGAAAGUUUGCCAGUGCCUAAUGUUCCCUGUGAGGAACUUUCUGCUGAAACGGCAUCCAUGUCUGAGACGGCUGAGACAGAGGAGUCUGAAGACCUUAAAAUCAAACAGAAGAAGAAAAAAGACUUUCUGUGCAGUUGCUGUGUCAGACCCAAAGAAACUGACUGACAGAGAAACUGAAAUCAAAUUUUAAAAACUCGUUAAUAUUUUUUGCAUGAGUCUCCGUCUGUGAUUAAAGAUGAAUUUCUUUCAGAUGUUUAUAAGAGUCUCUUACGGUUCUCAAAAUACCUCCACAAGUCCAGUAAGUGUUGUUAACAUGACAUACUGAAUACUUAAUAUUUAUAAUAGAAUUUCAACUUAUUCUAACUCUUAACAUGUAAACAACAGUAACUGAAACUGGUAAAUAACACUAGAGAAUGCAUUUCCUGUAGAAAAUGCAGUGUAAAUGCUAAUAGCUGAAUGGUUUGAGCUGAAUUUUUAUAAUUGCUGAAUCUUUGAUGGAAAACAUGUUUAAUGAGCUGAAAUACACCGAGUCAUUCACCUGACAGCCAAAGUGCAGAACUGAAAUUCACACAGAAGAACAAACUAGCUGAACAUCUUGAAAAUGUACAUAAGAAAAACUGUCUAAUGACAAAAGAAAAUUAACCCCAUUCUAGAAAACAUCUGAAUGAAUAUUGAAAGCUCAUAUUCUUUAAAUCACUGGGAGAGUGGAAUUAAAUGUCUGAACUCAAGAAUCUCAAAUAAUUCUUGGAUAAUUAUCCAAGACUGUAACUAUGAUCAAAAUACUUUUUGAACCAUGAGGGUCCCAAGGACUUGGUCUACACCAGACCUUCCCAAAGUGUGGGGCCCGCCCCCUAGGGGGGGCGCAGAGCCAUGACAGGGGGGGCGCGGGAUGAAAAGGGAAAAAAAAACAAAAAAAAAAAAACGCUUGGACACAGCUAGCACGGUGCACCCACAGAAACGCAAAGCAGGAGAUGAAGCAUGGCUGAAUAUGUUUCUAAACCAACUUCAUUCUAAGCAGGGGCGGAUCUAGAAGGGUGGCAUGGGGUGGCAAGUGCCACCCUAAAAUGAUCCCUUGCCACCCCAAGUGCCACCCCAGUUUUGCAUAUGACAGUGUUGUUUAUUAAAAUAAGAUAGCAUUAACAGUUUGAGCAUAGUUACAGUCAACAGUGAAUAUAAAUGCUAAAACUGAUUAUAUUGCAUAGUGUUUCCCCCCCUCCACCAUUAACAAAUGGUUCAGCCCAUAGCAGGACCGGCUUUUCUCUUGUUUUCAGUAGCAAGCGAUGUUUAUGAUUGUGCCAGAGCACAUUUUGAACAACACCGUGGGAAUUUCGCUUUUUACACAGGUGGUUGGAUGUUAAACUCUGGAAAUGGAAGGAAGGUGAGUGUCAUUAACCCUCCGUGGUCCACGGACACGCUGCACCUCCAAAUCACAUGACUGAUGUAAGCUGACAUAGCAACAAGCUGCAGCCACGCUGAGUCUCUAUUUCAGUCCACAUUGAAAGUUCGGACUUCAAAGGUUUUUUUAAUUUUAAUUACAGGCCAGUAAAUCCAGAGUUAUGAUAAUAUAUAUAAGCCAUGCUUUUUUCUAAUUACUGUCAUCACGUUUUGUGUGUGUUUUAAGCGUUUUCUAACGAAAGCGCGAAAACCGUAAAGAAAGGGGGAAAAAAACACCCCUUUCCUAUCGGUGGAAAAAUGUAUCAUGUCGCCCAAUUUAAAAAAAAAGUUAACACGUGGGAUUUGGUUGUUUAGGAAGAGGGAAAGGUUUUGGGGGUGACGGUAACGGCAGCGAGACAGAGCGAGCGAGAGAGAGAGAGUUUUUAGAUGUGGGAGAUUUGUAACGUUUAGUGUGGAGUAGGGGUGGGUUUUUAUAAUCGAUUUAUUGAUUAAAAUCGAUUCUGGCUUGGAUAACGUGAAAUCGAUUCAUUAAAAUCCUGAAUCGAUUUUUUAAUAUAAAUUUAUUUUGCCCGAAACGCCAGAAUCUCAGGUGAAACCUCACAAAAUUUCAACAACCACCAAACAGCUAAGACAGUAAAUGAGAGCAGGAACACGGAUUCUGCACAAAGACGUAAACACAAAGCGCGGACCCACGGAUCAGAAUCAGUGAGAUGUCGCCUUUCUCACCUGACGGCACGGACACGGACACGGUUGGGGCUGAAAGCCGACAGCUCGCUGAUUCUGAUGUUUCGGCGGGUCCGCACUCUGUGUUCACGCCCUUUUUGCGCUGAUUCUAAAGCUGUUAGUUUGAUCUCUCUCCAAACAAUAUUGACUGAACCAGCAGCAAAAGAAGAUCCAAACGAUGUUUACGCUUCACGUAAACAUCAUCAUGAAUUCACUCUGACUUUGGCUGUUUUGCUUCCACCACGAUAAAAUCACACUUCAUGCACAGCUCUCUCUCUCUCUCUCUCUCUCUCUCUGUACUUCAAGAACAGUCUCCCGUCUAAAAAUCUGUUUUCUGCAUUAUUCGCUUGCUUGUUACGCACAAGUCUACCGUUGUUUACAGCGCUGUCGGCUGCUGUUUUUUGUUUUUUUUAGUUUUACAUACUUCCGAAGAGAAAACCUAAUUUCUGCCGUUCAAUACUGAACAAAUUUAAACUUUUUAAAAUUAUGCAAAAUGCAAAACGCUUAGCCGUGUCUCUAAUAAAACCGCUGUAACGUCAGAGGUAACGUUCAUAUGUUUAUUAAUGGUUUUCUUUCAUUUUUGAUGUACUGCAGAAUAUUUUUAUAAAAUCCCAGGCCAGGAAAACCACCUUCAUGUUUUUCUGUGUUUUAUCUUCAGCUACUUUGACACAAAGGCAUCUGCUGUGACGCUUACACCUUUGAUAAAGUCUUGUGUCAGCUUCCUUUUUAUAGAUACAAAAAUAUGUAAAUGUACUGAUCUGGAUUAUAAUAUUUCUGACUGUCAAAAUUUCCCAGAUUCAAAUUCAAAUUCGAAUUGAAUCGAAUCGAAUCGAAUUUAAUCGAAUCGUGGAUCAAAUCGAUUCGGGACCUUGUGAAUCGGAAACGAAUCGAUUCUAGAAAUCAGUGACGAUACCCAGCCCUAGUGUGGAGUGUAUACUUAGUGUGUUGUGUUGUCGUUGUGUUGUGUAGUCGUUGUUUUGUUUUGUGUGUCAGUGAGGGCACUAAUGAAUGUCACAAAGGCACAUUUGCAAUGUAAACACUGUCACUAAGUAGAGAACCAGCGGAGUGAUACACCUCCUGUUGUUAGGCCUGCAGGUUUAUCCCUGUGCUGUUCUCCUCUGUCUUUUGGUGGACAAACUUAUUUUUUACUGGCACACAUCAUUUCUGGGGCAUCUUAUUGCGACACCUGAUUGUUCUCUCAUUUUAGUUUUAGUAAUAUUUUUAAAUUAUUAUACAAAAUGAAAAAAAACCCAUGGCAGGUGUAUUGGCUGCAUUUUUAGAUAAAUAGUUGUAUAUGUUUACAAAAUGUACAUUUUAUAUCUGCAUUU